rnacentral:rRNA from 1 species
UCGCCUGUUUAUCAAAAACAUGGUUUCUUGGAAUUGUAUUAGAAAUCUAACCUGCCCACUGAAUAUUAAUUUAAAGGGCCGCGGUAUUUUGACUGUGCGAAGGUAGCAUAAUCAUUAGUCUUUUAAUUGAAGGCUUGUAUGAAUGGUUGGAUGAGGUGAAUACUGUUUUAUUUUUAUUAAAUUGAAUUUAAAUUUUAAGUAAAAAGGCUUAAAUUUUAUUAAGGGACGAGAAGACCCUAUAGAGUUUAAUAAAUUUAUUAAUUAGUUAAGUUAUUAAGUAAUUUUUGAUUAUUAUGAAGUUUAUUUGAUUGGGGUGAUUAAAAGAUAAGUAAAACUCUUUUUAAAUAUUAAUAUUGUAAUUAGUUUUAUGAUCCAUAAGUAAUGAUUAAAAGAUUAAAUUACCUUAGGGAUAACAGCAUAAUUUUUUUUGAGAGUUCAUAUUGAAAAAGAAGAUUAUGACCUCGAUGUUGGAUUAAGAUUAGUUUUGGGUGCAGAUGUUUAUAAACUAGGUCUGUUCGACCUUUAAAAUCUUACAUGAUCUGAGUUCAAACCGGAGA